AUCAUCAUUCAAUGGAUGAAAUGAAAUAGCUAUGUCAUAGUUUGUCAGGACCAAACGGAUAAAUUGUUUUUCUUCUGCUUCAGGACUUAAUCAACUGAUCAUGAAGCAAGGACAUAUACUAUUUGUUGUUGGUCUAUUAAUGGUAUUAUGUGGAACAUGUUCUGCAUGCCGUUGUGGAGACCAUGGAGGUCAAUGUGGACGUACAUAUUGUCCGAUUGGAUUCUAUAAAGAUUACAGACAACAUUCCGACUGUUAUUACGCAGAGUUCUGUUGUCUUCCUAGAAACGCGAGGUGUUAGUUAUUGAAGUAUACAAAAUCAAUGUAUGCAUAGAGAUAUGACAUUACAAUAAAUAAUGGUCAU